GCUGGAUCUGUGCUUCGGUGUGAGGAUGUAGGCACUGGGUUGUGCAAAAGCCAUUUAUUUCUGCCUUAUCGAGGGACUCUGUAUAAUGCUGCCAUUCCCCCCACACUUCUGUUCCGUUUUUGUUCUCAAGCCCAGGCGUGAUCUCACUUUCCAGGCAGAUACUUCUCUCCUAAGCGCUGUUCUAAAGAUCCCCUCUCUGUGUUCCUCAGGCUGGAAGUUCCUCUUUCAUUUCUUCCACAAUAAAAACAACUCAUCAUGGGAACUGAUUCGAAGGAGAUGGAAAGGAAUCCUCCAGCCUUGGAUCUUCUAGUGCCUCCAUCAGGAAUGCAGCAGGUUGCUCUGAAAGUGGCCAUCUCCAGAAUCCCUUUUUGUCUCAGAGCUGAAAGAAACGAGAUGAUGAUGAACGUGACACUUGAGUUGCCAUGGGAACACAGCAUGAAGCUCAUGUUAGCAGUGCUCCUUCCUGCAAGCAAGCACCGCUGGCUCUGGAGAUGGGCACAGGCAGCACCUGCCCAGGUGUCACCCACAUAAUCUAGGGGUGAACCGCAUUUACUUUACCAGAGGAAGAUCUGGAGGGAUAAAUCGCUGCAAGCCAUGCUGGGACACGUGAGAUGGUGUUGUUUUGUGAUCGUGAGCCUGGGUCUCCAUUAUGAUUACACUGCAAUGAGUGCCAAGACUGUGCCUGGAAAUUGGAUCAGCUGAGCCUUGAACAGUAGCUGCUGCUUUUCCCAGUGAGUCGGAAGCCAGCCUAUCUCUGCAGAGCUUCACCACCACGCUUGGACCCAGGUGCAGCCCAGACAACACUGAAAGCCCGAAAAUCUGCUGGCAGUGAUAAAUGCUCAUCUCCUUCCCCUUCUGUGCUGUGGUCCUGUUAACCCAGAUUCUGCCAAGGCUUCCAUCACAGAUAGGAAGAAGUCUGGAAAGCCACCUCCAUGCCCUGAUGCAGCACUACAACACGGCCCUGAAGUGGCAGCUGUGAAACGCAGAACAACCAGACAAAGCUGGUAACACAUUUGUACAGCCUGGGGUGUCGGGAGGAAUCAGCUCCACGGAGCAGACAAGGAGACAGAGAAGUGAAGUUUUAGGUUCUCUCCUCGGUUUGCUACAUUGCAAAGCAAGCUGUCCUCAAGUCCUUUGGGAAGCUUUUCUAUGCAACGAUUAUCCCUCUCUUCGAGUCUGAAAGGGAAUUACUGCACAUGAAUCUGGAGAGGUUCAGAGAAGCACUGAAAGGUUCUUGCAUUAGGGACUUCAAAGUGUGACCACCUAACUCCUGCCACCAGAAGCACGGGAGAUCAGAUGCCGGGAUGAGGGCCAGCAGAACUCCUUUCUGAUACAGCUCUUCCACUGAAGUCCCCAUGACAUUUUCACAGCUCUGCAUCUUAUCGGGUCUUGACCACAGAGGGUGGUUAAUGUGCAGCACUGCAGUACACACAGCCCAACCUGCUGCAAGAUGACUCCCCCAGAUGGAUCCCCUCCAUUGAGGACAGUAUAAGUCAAACAUUAGAAGGUGGGGCACAGCGCUGUGCUUGGGAAGAUGUUUUCCUUUGAAAUAAGGCUGAGCUACAAGGAAAAAUGCCUGCACAAGAGCUUUGCAGAAUAUAAGCUCAGGGCUUGCAGAGUUUGUCACCACAUGAGAAGAAGGGUCACAGAUGCAUGGUAACAAACACAGGCUCCCUCCUCACCUGCUGACCAGAAGGACUCGGCAAUAGCUUCAAACCCACGUGUUCCCAGAGCCACCUGUCUGCAAUUCAGCACCCCAUGGACACCGGCAUGAGCCUGAGAUGAGGCAGUACAGGCUCUUUUCUGCCCCCAGAAUGUAUGCAUCA